rnacentral:rRNA from 1 species
GAAGGUGUGCUGUGAGGCAUGCUGGAGGUAUCAGAAGUGCGAAUGCUGACAUAAGUAACGAUAAAGCGGGUGAAAAGCCCGCUCGCCGGAAGACCAAGGGUUCCUGUCCAACGUUAAUCGGGGCAGGGUGAGUCGACCCCUAAGGCGAGGCCGAAAGGCGUAGUCGAUGGGAAACAGGUUAAUAUUCCUGUACUUGGUGUUACUGCGAAGGGGGGACGGAGAAGGCUAUGUUGGCCGGGCGACGGUUGUCCCGGUUUAAGCGUGUAGGCUGGUUUUCCAGGCAAAUCCGGAAAAUCAAGGCUGAGGCGUGAUGACGAGGCACUACGGUGCUGAAGCAACAAAUGCCCUGCUUCCAGGAAAAGCCUCUAAGCAUCAGGUAACAUCAAAUCGUACCCCAAACCGACACAGGUGGUCAGGUAGAGAAUACCAAGGCGCUUGAGAGAACUCGGGUGAAGGAACUAGGCAAAAUGGUGCCGUAACUUCGGGAGAAGGCACGCUGAUAUGUAGGUGAAGUGAUUUACUCAUGGAGCUGAAAUCAGUCGAAGAUACCAGCUGGCUGCAACUGUUUAUUAAAAACACAGCACUGUGCAAACACGAAAGUGGACGUAUACGGUGUGACGCCUGCCCGGUGCCGGAAGGUUAAUUGAUGGGGUUAGCGCAAGCGAAGCUCUUGAUCGAAGCCCCGGUAAACGGCGGCCGUAACUAUAACGGUCCUAAGGUAGCGAAAUUCCUUGUCGGGUAAGUUCCGACCUGCACGAAUGGCGUAAUGAUGGCCAGGCUGUCUCCACCCGAGACUCAGUGAAAUUGAACUCGCUGUGAAGAUGCAGUGUACCCGCGGCAAGACGGAAAGACCCCGUGAACCUUUACUAUAGCUUGACACUGAACAUUGAGCCUUGAUGUGUAGGAUAGGUGGGAGGCUUUGAAGUGUGGACGCCAGUCUGCAUGGAGCCGACCUUGAAAUACCACCCUUUAAUGUUUGAUGUUCUAACGUGGACCCGUAAUCCGGGUUGCGGACAGUGUCUGGUGGGUAGUUUGACUGGGGCGGUCUCCUCCUAAAGAGUAACGGAGGAGCACGAAGGUUGGCUAAUCCUGGUCGGACAUCAGGAGGUUAGUGCAAUGGCAUAAGCCAGCUUGACUGCGAGCGUGACGGCGCGAGCAGGUGCGAAAGCAGGUCAUAGUGAUCCGGUGGUUCUGAAUGGAAGGGCCAUCGCUCAACGGAUAAAAGGUACUCCGGGGAUAACAGGCUGAUACCGCCCAAGAGUUCAUAUCGACGGCGGUGUUUGGCACCUCGAUGUCGGCUCAUCACAUCCUGGGGCUGAAGUAGGUCCCAAGGGUAUGGCUGUUCGCCAUUUAAAGUGGUACGCGAGCUGGGUUUAGAACGUCGUGAGACAGUUCGGUCCCUAUCUGCCGUGGGCGCUGGAGAACUGAGGGGGGCUGCUCCUAGUACGAGAGGACCGGAGUGGACGCAUCACUGGUGUUCGGGUUGUCAUGCCAAUGGCACUGCCCGGUAGCUAAAUGCGGAAGAGAUAAGUGCUGAAAGCAUCUAAGCACGAAACUUGCCCCGAGAUGAGUUCUCCCUGACUCCUUGAGAGUCCUGAAGGAACGUUGAAGACGACGACGUUGAUAGGCCGGGUGUGUAAGCGCAGCGAUGCGUUGAGCUAACCGGUACUAAUGAACCGUGAGGCUUAACCUUACAACGCCGAAG